CCCUUAGAUGUUCUGGGCCGCACGCGCGCCACACUGAUGAAUUCAACGAGCACUAACCUGUGCAGAAAUGUUCGGGUAAUCUUGUGAAAUUUCAUCGUGAUGGGGAUUGAUUAUUGCAAUUAUUAAUCAUAAACGAGGAAUGCCUAGUAAGCGUGAGUCAUCAGCUCACGUUGAUUACGUCCCUGCCCUUUGUACACACCGCCCGUCGCUCCUACCGAUUGAAUGUGCUGGUGAAAAGUUCGGAUUGGGAAUAGGAGACGGCAACGUAUCCUGUUUCUGAGAAAAUCUUUAAACCCUCCCAUUUAGAGGAAGGAGAAGUCGUAACA
rnacentral:rRNA from 1 species